rnacentral:rRNA from 1 species
CAAACGACUCUCGGCAACGGAUAUCUCGGCUCUCGCAUCGAUGAAGAACGCAGCGAAAUGCGAUACUUGGUGUGAAUUGCAGAAUCCCGUGAACCAUCGAGUUUUUGAACGCAAGUUGCGCCCGAAGCUUCGGCUAAGGGCACGCCUGCCUGGGUGUCACACAU